GAAAAAGUAAAAAAAAAAAAAAAAAAAGUGUGUAGGCUACAACAAAACAGUUCACCAUUUUUGACUAAUUGAAGUUACAACCGAUAUGUUAUAAACAUAUAGAGUGCUUGCUAUUGUUUUCUUUGACUUUGAUUUACAUAUGCAGUUGAAGGCAUUACACAUUUUGUGAUUGUCAUUUCAUUUUUGUCAUGAUGUCCUAUCAAGUCCUAAUUAUAUUUAUAGAUUGACCAAUAUAAGACAUUCCUAAAGAUUUUUUGUUUAUUUGCUUUGAAAUUUAAAAGCAUUUUAUUAUAAUGUUGCUAUGUCUUUUGAAAGCCUCUUCUGCCUGGGAACUUUUUUAUUUUUAAUGAAGUCACAAUCUAUUGUUUCUAUUAUUUCAUCUUAACAUUCUAUUCCAAAUUUUUAAAAAUCCUUCUAACAUAUACUUAACUUUAAAACUUAAUAUAUAUUGUAUCAUGCAUUUAUGAAAGAUAAUAUCUAGAUGAUAUUAAUAAAAUUUGCUGAUAUUGAGACUGAAA